CAACUACUCCCUCUGUCCCAAAUUUCUUGUCUUAGAUUUGUCUAGAUACAGAUGUAUCUAAUACUAAAAUUUGACUUGAUACAUCCGUAUCUAGACAAAUCCAAGACAAGAAUUUUGGGACAGAGGGAGUACUUU
rnacentral:pre_miRNA from 1 species